rnacentral:rRNA from 1 species
UGGCGGGUGCUAUAAUGCAGUCGAACGCUUUUUCUUUCACCGGAGCUUGCUCCACCGAAAGAAAAGGAGUGGCGAACGGGUGAGUAACACGUGGGUAACCUGCCCAUCAGAAGGGGAUAACACUUGGAAACAGGUGCUAAUACCGUAUAACAAUCGAAACCGCAUGGUUUCGGUUUGAAAGGCGCUUUUGCGUCACUGAUGGAUGGACCCGCGGUGCAUUAGCUAGUUGGUGAGGUAACGGCUCACCAAGGCAACGAUGCAUAGCCGACCUGAGAGGGUGAUCGGCCACAUUGGGACUGAGACACGGCCCAAACUCCUACGGGAGGCAGCAGUAGGGAAUCUUCGGCAAUGGACGCAAGUCUGACCGAGCAACGCCGCGUGAGUGAAGAAGGUUUUCGGAUCGUAAAACUCUGUUGUUAGAGAAGAACAAGGAUGAGAGUAAAAUGUUCAUCCCUUGACGGUAUCUAACCAGAAAGCCACGGCUAACUACGUGCCAGCAGCCGCGGUAAUACGUAGGUGGCAAGCGUUGUCCGGAUUUAUUGGGCGUAAAGCGAGCGCAGGCGGUUUCUUAAGUCUGAUGUGAAAGCCCCCGGCUCAACC